UACAGAGGUGGCAAGCGUUGUUCGGAAUUACUGGGCGUAAAGGGCGUGUAGGCGGCUUUUUAAGUCAGACGUGAAAUCCCCCGGCUUAACCUGGGAACUGCGUCUGAUACUGGGAAGCUAGAGUUCGGGAGAGGGAUGUAGAAUUCCAGGUGUAGCGGUGAAAUGCGUAGAUAUCUGGAGGAAUACCGGUGGCGAAGGCGGCAUCCUGGACCAUAACUGACGCUGAGGCGCGAAAGCUAGGGGAGCAAACGGG
rnacentral:rRNA from 1 species